UUGGAAUCUAUCUGCUUGAGUUCUGUAUAUAUUUUGGAUAAUAGCCCUCUGUCAGAUGCAAGAUUAGUGAAGAGCUUUUCCCAAUUUGUUGGCUGCUGUUUUGUCCUUUUGACAGUGUUCUUUGCCUUACAGAAGCUUUUUGUUUCAUGAGAUCCUAUUUAAGUGUUGAUCUUAGAGCCUGAGCCAUUGGUGUUUUGUCCAGGAAAUAAUCUCCUAUGCCAAUAUGUUCAAGGCUAUUUUCUGCUUUCUCUUCUAUGAGAUUUAAUGUAUCUUGUUUUAUGUCAAGGUCCAUGAGCCACUUGGACUUGAGUUUUGUGCUGGGUGAUAAAUAUGAAUAUAUUUGCAUUCUUCUACUUCAGGGAACUGAAGUUCUUGUCAUACAAAUCUUUCCCUGGCUUAGUUAGAGUUACACCAAGAUAUUCUGUAUUAUUUAUGGCUAUUAUAAAGGGUGUUGUUUCCCUAAUAUCUUUCUCUGCCUAUUUGUCAUUUGUAUAAAGGAAGGGUACUGAUUCCUUUGAGUUAAUUUGGUAUCCAGUGACUUUGAUGAAUAUGUUUGUCAGCUGUAGGAAAUCUCUGGUAGAAUUUUGACUUCUUCCUUUCUAAUUUGUAUCCCCCAAUCUCCUUUUGUUGCCUUAUUGGUCUAGCUAGAACUUCAAGCACUAUAUUGAAUAGAUAGGAAGAGAGUGGGCAGCCUUGUCUUGUCCCUGAUUUUAGUGGGAUUGCAUCAGGUUUCUCUCCAUCUAAUUUGAUACUGGCUAUUAGCUUGCUGAAUAUUGCUUUUAUUAUGUUUAGAUAUGUGCCUCAAAUCCUUGGUAUGUCCAAGACUUUUAAAAUGGAGUGUUAGAUUUUGUUGAAGGCUUUUUCAGCAUCUAAUGAGAGGAUUAUGUAUUUUUUCUUUCAGUUUUUAUAUAGUGGAUUAUGUUGAUGUUUUUCCUAUAUUGUACCCUCCCUAAAUCCCUGUGAUAAAGCUGUUUGAUAGUGGGGGAAUGAUGUUUCUGAUGUAUUCCUAGAUUCAGUUUGUGAGAUAUUUUUAUUGAGUAUUUUUGUGUCAGUGUUCAUGAUCGAAAUUGGUCUGAAGACAUGGUGCUGGAGAAGGAGCUCUUGAUCUCAAGGCAGCCAGGAGAAGGUUGUCUUCCAAGUAGCUAGGAGGAGGGUCUCAAAGCCAACCUCCUCAGUGACAUACUUCGUCCAACAAGACCAUACCUACUCCAAAAAGUCCACAGAUGUUAAUAGUGCCACUCCCUGGGCUAAGCAUAUUCAAACCACCACAACAUGUACUUUUUUGACAUGUUCUCAGUAAUAUUCUUACACAGCAUAUUGCGUGUUCAUUUCUGGAGGCCUCAGGCAGCAUUUACUGAUCAUGGAAGCCACCUUCAAUGUGUGGUGACAUUACUUGCAUUGCCAAGCAUGAACAGAGCAAGGGACAGCCCUCAAGCUGAAGUUCUUAAGAACCAACAUAGUCUCAUGAAACAAAUCAAGUGGGCAAACCAUGAAGGUAGACCACUGCCUAGUUAGAACAUCAGUUCAAAGGCAAAGCACUAUGCAAACAUCACUCAUCCUGGGAAGAGCUGUAUGUUGUGUGAUAAAUCACACUGACACAGAGUAGGGAUCACUUUUGUAGUUUCUCUUCCAUUUUCUAUUUCCUAAGAUAGAAACCUCUUUGUUUUGUCAGUUUUGGGCUCUGGGCCUGGAACAACUUGUUGAUGCUCAGAGAGGGAGUAGCUCUUAUAUUAUGCCCUCUUCCUCUUGUGAUUAAGAAUGUUAGAAUGGGAGCAGCUUAAGACAGAGCUCCCAGUCCUUUCUGUAGGACUGGAACGCUAUUGUUUGCAAUCCAGGCAUCACACUGUAGAGUUUCCUACCCUCGACUCUGUAUGUUAUUUAAAUGAGCAUAUCUGGCAGUUUGAGGAUAUUUAACCAUGACCUUUUAAGAUCUCAUAUGGCAACUGGAAGAGAACCAUUUCCUGGGUUAGUCUCCACGAGGCUAGGGUGUGGUGGGGUUUCCAACACCUUGUCCCCACUCUGUUUAUUUGCCCUCAAUUAUUUGAAUGCUCCAUUCCAUGUUAAGUAUUUCCUUGAGGUUGCAUGAUAGACCCAAAGAAGGCCUUCUGUUCAUCCAACAUCUGUUUCUCUGAUUUUCCAGCUCCUUGUUUUGAAUCAAUGUUUUAAGUGAGUAUGGGCAUAAUAUUCAGUAUAUUAGUACACACUGGAGACAGUCUUGCCUACUAGAAAUCUAGGUACUACAGGGUUAUAAAAGUCAUUUGAUACCUUGUAAAGCCCAAGACACCUAGCCAAUGCCCAGGCCCGGUUUCUUGAUGCAGUCAGGUGAUAACACAUGUACACUUGUACAGCCCUUUUCAGCAUGUGCCAAAAGUUCAUGCUAAGUACUACAUAAAUUAUCACCUAAUUAAGUACUGUUAUGGUUUGGAUCGGGGGGAAGUGUAAACUCGAUUCUCCUUGGAGAGCAGUAUGCAGCAAUAUGAUGUGGAAUUAAUUGUAUGGGUCCAGGUCAAAGAUCAAAGUACAAGUGGAAUUGCUCUUGCAAAGGGAGAAUUUGAAAAGGAUUUUUGUUGGCAUCUCAGUCACUUUCUGUUUUUAAAAUUGUUCCAUGUGUGCCAGCAUACAACUGUUUCUCCUCACCUCUUUUUUCUCUAGUUUGCCUUAAAUGGUUCCUCUAUAAUCGUUUUAGUUCCUUUCUUCAGUGUUUACUAAGGCCAGUUCUUUCUCAAUUAAGAAUAAUGGUAGAGAAGACUUCAUCUGCAUUAGAUACUCUGGUUUAAAUAUUCUUUCUGAUAAAUAGUAACUGAUUCUGGGAAAGUGCUCUAAUUACAGGAGACUCAAUUCCUUCUAGUAAACAUCAGUGAUCAAACUUCCUGUAUCAUAUGCUUGGGUUUGUAUGAUGCUGGGUGCAGACUCAAGGCUUCAAGAAGAGAAAAGUUAAGUGUAUGCAACCAUUUCCCCACCAUCUUAGCCCUUGAUGUGCCAUCACCCUGUGAAUCCUGUUUCUGCUGUUUACACCCCUUCCUUGCUGUCAUUACACUACCUGGAUCUAGUGUACUCAUCACAAUACCUUUCCUUGAUGUUGUAGUAUCACUGUGUUGGUCUUUGAGGAGGCUUAAUAUUCUCUCUGUAGUUAUUCAGUUUUCUAAUUAACAUUGUAAUUAGGUUUGUGUGUUAAAUUCUUUAUGCAAAACUAUCUAGAAUGUGUUCCCUUUUGCUCACUAUUAGAGUGUGUUAUAAUAUACAAUAAAUUCACACAUACACAUAGACACACAGAGUUAUUUAGAUGGUUAGAGGCUUAUAUAGCGAGUAAUUAGCUCAUUUCAGGUAUUUGCUUUGUCAAGUGAAUUUAUCAAGUCAAAGUGUGAGCAUGCAUUUAUAUGAUGUAUCUCUCCCUCCUGAACUAACACUGGCCCUGCAGUUACCUGUUUCGGUGUCUCUAUUAUAGCACCUGAAUGAUGGAAAGGAUUCAUGAAGCGAGCAAUGGCUGAGCACCUCUUAGUGUUCUCCCUGCCAUGGGCCUUGCCUCUCCAGGAGCUGACUUGUCCCUGUCGUUCCUGUCCUUCUAUGAUGUCAGAAUGGUCAUCCCAUUGCUUAGAUGAAUGCAUAAAGCUGCAGACCUCAUACCACAAUGUCUCUUGAAUGCCUGCUACCUCACUUAUGAAUGUAUUUGGCUGGAAGAAUGGCAAGUCCCCUGCUGGCCCUGCAAUCCCUCACUGGCAUCUUUCCUAUAGGAAUUACCACCUUUGCUUUGUCUCUUGGCAGAAAGUUCACCUUUAAACUUUGGACCCCCCUUACCAAUCUAGAAGUCUUUUGAUGGAUUAUGGAGACAAUUCACAAAGAGGAAGAUGCAAAUGUUCUCCUGGAAACCAUGGUGCUGAGAAACAGAGAAGAGGAAGAAUAUAUACACAGACGCCUUGAAAGACUCUUCAGUUCCUCAUAGUCACAGCACUGAUCUUUUUGCUCUCUGCCCUAACUUUUACUGAUGAUACCAAUGGAGGAUUUUUUUCAGGGAAAAAGGAAGAUGAAAUUUGAGUUCUCAGACUAUGAAUAAUUUGAUCUGUGAAUGAAGCAUUGGGUGUUGUUGAUGGUCAUCACAGCCUUGGUGAUGGAAAAAUUGAAGAAAAGAGAAGGAGCUUUUCAUGCAAUGACUGAACUGUCCCCAGCACGCAACCCAGGAGAAGCCCAGAGGGAAUCAAAGCCAUAAAAUUUAUGACUCGACAUUUCUAAAAAUGGAUCGCUGUCUCUUGGAGUUCUUCUGAAGCACAUGUGUAUGAAUAAGUGAGUGCCUGGCAUCCAGCAAGAUCAGCUAUAUUCUGAGGUCUCCCAUGUUCUUUCAUGACCUUGGAUAUUCUCAUAAACAUUUCAGUGCUGGAGGAAAGGAAGUUGCCCAGCUGGGUAAGAGAGCUGUUGGACCAUUGCCUCACUGCACACAAAUUUCCUACUUAUUUCAAGACUCAACUUCAGAGAGUGCACUUAACUGAUUUGCCUGGCUGUCAUCUGUCAUGUUCUCUUGGACUCAAGUGUCACAAUGGCAGAGAACUUGUCAUCUCUUUCCUCUCCAAUUCCUCUAGUGCCUAGAAUGGUGCCAGCCAUCUGCAGCUGCUCCAUCAAGGGAGACUGAAGUCAACACUAAAGAGUGAUUGGGACCUCAAAAGAACAAGCUGUGCCGAGGAAAGGAUGCAUCGUCUCACGUAUGACAUCAAAGUCCCUUACAGUCAUUGUAUUAUUGAGGAGCCCCAUCUUAACCCAAGUUUUAGAAGACUUCCUUUUCCUGAGUGCUUGAGGUUGUACCACAAUGAUUUUGAUAGCUGUCUGUGCAUCAGAAUCACCCAAAAUUAUUCUUUAAUGCACACCUUUCUGUAUUCUACCAUUAAUUCAGUGAUCAGGGGUAUAACCUUGGCAUCUGCCUUUAUUAAAUAAAUUCUAACAAUAAUAAGUAUAACAAGAGAGAGCUAGAUGAAGAGGGAAUGAGAAAUGGGAGGACAAACAUUAACAAAGAACCUUUUUAUCACCCCAAUGGUAAUUUGCCUGCCAAAAAGAUCAUUGUAGGCCAAUCAUGGAGGUACAAUGCCUCAUAAAAAUGCCUCAGUUUCUGAGUUGGGAGGGAACAAGGGGGGAGGGAUAUCUUGCCCAGUCUUUUGGUUGGCAUAGAAGAUAGACAUAUUUGUUUUGGCCAUCUGUGGGCUUCAAUGCAAACAGACUUUAACAGUUACUAGCUUAACACUGAGAGAGAGAGAGAGAGAGAGAGA